UGAGGAAUAUUGGUCAAUGGACGAGAGUCUGAACCAGCCAAGUAGCGUGAAGGAUGACUGCCCUAUGGGUUGUAAACUUCUUUUAUACGGGAAUAAAGUGAGGCACGUGUGCCUUUUUGUAUGUACCGUAUGAAUAAGGAUCGGCUAACUCCGUGCCAGCAGCCGCGGUAAUACGGAGGAUCCGAGCGUUAUCCGGAUUUAUUGGGUUUAAAGGGUGCGUAGGCGGCCUUUUAAGUCAGCGGUGAAAGUCUGUGGCUCAACCAUAGAAUUGCCGUUGAAACUGGGAGGCUUGAGUAUGUUUGAGGCAGGCGGAAUGCGUGGUGUAGCGGUGAAAUGCUUAGAUAUCACGCAGAACUCCGAUUGCGAAGGCAGCUCACUGGACUGCAACUGACACUGAUGCUCGAAAGUGUGGGUAUCAAACAGG
rnacentral:rRNA from 1 species